rnacentral:rRNA from 1 species
GAUGAACGCUAGCUACAGGCUUAACACAUGCAAGUCGAGGGGUAACAAGAGGAAAGCUUGCUUUUCUUGUUGACGACCGGCGCACGGGUGAGUAACGCGUAUCCAACCUGCCUAUAACUAGGGAAUAACCUUGCGAAAGUAAGACUAAUACCCUAUGAUUUCCUUUGAUGACAUCAGAUUAGGAAUAAAGAUUUAUCGGUUAUAGUUGGGGAUGCGUCUGAUUAGCUUGUUGGCGGGGUAACGGCCCACCAAGGCAACGAUCAGUAGGGGUUCUGAGAGGAAGGUCCCCCACAUUGGAACUGAGACACGGUCCAAACUCCUACGGGAGGCAGCAGUGAGGAAUAUUGGUCAAUGGGCGGAAGCCUGAACCAGCCAAGUAGCGUGCAGGAUGACGGCCCUAUGGGUUGUAAACUGCUUUUAUACAGGAAUAAAGUUAGCCACGUGUGGUUAUUUGUAGGUACUGUAUGAAUAAGGACCGGCUAAUUCCGUGCCAGCCGCCGCGGUAACAC